rnacentral:rRNA from 1 species
UACGAAGGGGGCUGGCGUUGCUCGGAUUGACUGGGCGUAAAGGGCGCGUAGGCGGUUCGUACAGUCAGACGUGAAAUUCCUGGGCUCAACCUGGGGGCUGCGUUUGAUACGUGCGGACUUGAGUGCGGAAGAGGGUCGUGGAAUUCCCAGUGUAGAGGUGAAAUUCGUAGAUAUUGGGAAGAACACCGGUGGCGAAGGCGGCGACCUGGUCCGAUACUGACGCUGAGGCGCGAAAGCGUGGGGAGCAAACAGG